rnacentral:snoRNA from 1 species
AGGCCAUGAUGGGGACACUUGCGUAAUAGCUCCUUGAACCUUUCCCAUGUUUCAUAUAAGGAUUCCCCGUCCUCUUGUGAGCAUGUAUUAAUUUCAGCCAUUAAUUU